rnacentral:rRNA from 1 species
CCUACGGGUGGCUGCAGUGGGGAAUAUUGGACAAUGGGGGCAACCCUGAUCCAGCCAUGCCGCGUGUGUGAAGAAGGCCCUCGGGUUGUAAAGCACUUUCAGUGAGGAAGAACGCCUGGUGGUUAAUACCCAUCAGGAAAGACAUCACUCACAGAAGAAGCACCGGCUAACUCCGUGCCAUCAGCCGCGGUAAUACGGAGGGUGCGAGCGUUAAUCGGAAUUACUGGGCGUAAAGCGCGCGUAGGUGGCUUGAUAAGCCGGUUGUGAAAGCCCCGGGCUCAACCUGGGAACGGCAUCCGGAACUGUCAAGCUAGAGUGCAGGAGAGGAAGGUAGAAUUCCCGGUGUAGCGGUGAAAUGCGUAGAGAUCGGGAGGAAUACCAGUGGCGAAGGCGGCCUUCUGGACUGACACUGACACUGAGGUGCGAAAGCGUGGGUAGCAAACAGGAUUAGAUACCCUUGUAGUC